UACGAAGGGGGCGAGCGUUGUUCGGAUUUACUGGGCGUAAAGGGCGCGCAGGCGGCUAUCCAAGUCAGGCGUGAAAGCCCCGGGCUUAACCUGGGAGGUGCGUCUGGGAUUGGGUGGCUAGAGUUCGGGAGAGGAGAGUGGAAUUCCCAGUGUAGAGGUGAAAUUCGUAGAUAUUGGGAAGAACACCGGUGGCGAAGGCGGCUCUCUGGACCGAGACUGACGCUGAGGCGCGAAAGCGUGGGGAGCAAACAGG
rnacentral:rRNA from 1 species